CAUUGACGCCGCCGAUGAAUUCUUCAGCAGCUCCAAUCAACCUGAAAAUAGACACGCAAAGGUCAAAUAAGCACAUGAAUAAAACAACCCAAUCGAAGCCAAUACGUGUGGUUUAUUUCCUACUAACUUUUUUAUUUAUUUUAUGUACAAAACGUCAUAAGGCAACAGUUCCAAAUGAAUGAAAACGCAUACGAUGGAUACCUAGUAAUUUAAACAUUUCGCAUUUUAGCAAGAGCGCCAUACUUUAAAAGAUGCUAGAUACACAGGCUUUUACUGCUAAGUCUUAAUAACAUCUACGGAUGGGCGUCAGCUAAGUCCUGGUUCUGCAAUUCGAUUAGUUGAUUUAGUUUUAUAACAGUUGAUUGUUUCAUGAUAACCCAUAAACCCAGCUUAUAAGUUCAGUCGUAAGUUUUAAUUUAUGACCCAUUUCGUACCUUGUCACAGUGACAAUCAAUAAUGAAAGUCGCUAGAGACACCUCACACUAUUGUCACUGUAGGUACAAAGUGGGUCAUAAAUUAAAACUUUCGAUCGUACUUUUUUUUGGUAUGAAAAAGAACACUUCAGAAAUACCUAAGCAUGAGGUUUUUAAAAGGGCACUGUAUGCGAUAAAAUGUUGUACUAGAUAAUGGGGAAGAAUCGUGAUGAUUGAGAUUUGAGAUUACGUCAUUUUGAAAUCGUACCUAUAGUGUCCAAUGUAACCUCAUGCUUACUACUGCAGAAUUCUUUCUAAUUGCCAAAAAACAAAGUAUAAAUGCACACUUCUGAAGUAUAAGUUUAUUAGUGCGGAAAAGUCCUAUCGAGACCAGGGCAGUGUUAUCGGCCAAGUUCGAAGAAAAAGCCGCGCGACGCUGCAGUUUGUAACAAGAAAAGUGUGAGGCAGUUAGGGAAACUUUAGAAGCUUCUAAACAGUUACCAACGCAAAGUAAAAUCUACAGGCGAAUUUGUCAUAUUGACAUACUUUUCUCAACUGACUUUAUUUUUCCACGGUAGAGGUAUAAAAUGUUUCCAGUAUUUUUUACAACAGCGAACGCCUGUGUGAAUGGCUUGUCAAUCGCCGCACUAAUAGUAUUGCCUUAAUUCUAUUCAUUUUACAGAUAUCUAAAUUUUUGCAACAAAUAUUGAGUUUUCUUUGUUUUACAAAUUAUACCUAAGUGGACAUUUCUAUCUAUUAAUGCUGACUCGAUUUAUAUCUAUUUCAUUUCUCUAUGUAAAA